UGGGGAAUAUUGCACAAUGGGCGCAAGCCUGAUGCAGCCAUGCCGCGUGUAUGAAGAAGGCCUUCGGGUUGUAAAGUACUUUCAGCGAGGAGGAAGGCGUUGUGGUUAAUAACCGCAACGAUUGACGUUACUCGCAGAAGAAGCACCGGCUAACUCCGUGCCAGCAGCCGCGGUAAUACGGAGGGUGCAAGCGUUAAUCGGAAUUACUGGGCGUAAAGCGCACGCAGGCGGUAUGUCAAGUCGGAUGUGAAAUCCCCGGGCUCAACCUGGGAACUGCAUCCGAAACUGGCAGGCUAGAGUCUUGUAGAGGGGGGUAGAAUUCCGGGUGUAGCGGUGAAAUGCGUAGAGAUCUGGAGGAAUACCGGUGGCGAAGGCGGCCCCCUGGACAAAGACUGACGCUCAGGUGCGAAAGCGUGGGGAGCAAACA
rnacentral:rRNA from 1 species